rnacentral:rRNA from 1 species
AGAGUUUGAUUAUGGCUCAGGAUGAACGCUGGCGGCGUGCUUAACACAUGCAAGUCGAACGGAGUUUUUAAACGGAAGUUUUCGGAUGGAAGUUUAGGAAACUUAGUGGCGGACGGGUGAGUAACGCGUGGGUAACCUGCCUCAUACAGGGGGAUAACAGUUAGAAAUGACUGCUAACACCGCAUAAUAUAGCGAAACCGCAUGAUUUUUGCUAUCAAAUAUUUAUAGGUAUGAGAUGGGCCCGCGUCUGAUUAGCUAGGUUGUGGGGUAAAGGCCUACCAAGGCGACGAUCAGUAGCCGGCUUGAGAGAGUGACCGGCCACAUUGGGACUGAGACACGGCCCAAACUCCUACGGGAGGCAGGCAGUGGGGAAUAUUGGACAAUGGGGGAAACCCUGAUCCAGCGACGCCCGCGUGAGUGAAGAAGUAUUUCGGUAUGUAAAGCUCUAUCAGCAGGGAAGAUAAUGACAGUACCUGACUAAGAAGCCCCGGCUAACUACGUGCCAGCAGCAGC